AGCUUAACCCCGCUGCAGGCGGUGGCCGGCGCCCCGCCCCCGCCCCCACCGGGGCAGCCUGCCCUCCCCGCGCCCCCUCCCCCUAACGCCGCCUUGCCUCCCGCCCCCGCGCUGCUCCCGGCUAACUCUGAGCCCGCGCUUCUGCAGAACCUCGCGUCCCUCCCGGCUAACCAGGCUUUCUUACCCGCCUCCUCUGCCGCCUCUCUGCAGCCUGCUAACGCCUCUCUGUCCAUCAAGCUCGCCUCCCUCCCGCACAAGGCCCCCCGCCCCUCCUUCACGGUGCACCACCAGCCCCUGCCCGGGCUGGCCCUGGCCCAGGCCGCGCCCGUGAUCCCACAGGCCAGCUCCACGGGGCCGUCCGCCGUGUGGGUUUCCCUUGGCAUGCCGCCUCCGUAUGCCGCGCGCCUUGCGGGGGUUAAGCCAAGAUAAAGACCUUGCUUAGCUAGCGGUUCGUAUUCUGUAAGGUAACUAGGAUUCUACCUCAACCGUGAGACCUAUGCACGCACGGGCUGGGCCGGCGGUGCGGCAGCGGCCACGGGACGGCGGGACAGACCGAGGACAGGGGACGAGGCUCUACUGUGAAUCAGCGCUGCGCACACCUGCGGGAGAUGCUGGGGCCUGGCUCCAGCUCGUACUGUUGAUAGUUUUAGAUAAAGUAUUUAUCGUUUUUUAAAAAGUA